AGUGAACGCUGGCGGUAGGCCUAACACAUGCAAGUCGAACGGCAGCACAGUAAGAGCUUGCUCUUACGGGUGGCGAGUGGCGGACGGGUGAGGAAUACAUCGGAAUCUACUUUUUCGUGGGGGUUAACGUAGGGAAACUUACGCUAAUACCGCAUACGACCUACGGGUGAAAGCAGGGGAUCUUCGGACCUUGCGCGAUUGAAUGAGCCGAUGUCGGAUUAGCUAGUUGGCGGGGUAAAGGCCCACCAAGGCGACGAUCCGUAGCUGGUCUGAGAGGAUGGUCGGCCACACUGGAAGUGAGACACGGUCCAGACUCCUACGGGAGGCAGCAGUGGGGAAUAUUGGACAAUGGGCGCAAGCCUGAUCCAGCCAUACCGCGUGGGUGAAGAAGGCCUUCGGGUUGUAAAGCCCUUUUGUUGGGAAAGAAAAGCAGCAGGUUAAUACCCCGCUGUUCUGACGGUACCCAAAGAAUAAGCACCGGCUAACUUCGUG
rnacentral:rRNA from 1 species